GAUGAGAACGUAGCGAAAUGCGAUAAGUAAUGUGAAUUGCAGAAUUCAGUGAAUCAUCGAAUCUUUGAACGCACAUUGCGCCCGCCAGUAUUCUGGCGGGCAUGCCUGUUCGAGCGUCAUUUCAACCAUCAAGCCCCGGCUUGUGUUGGGGACCUGCGGCUGCCGCAGGCCCUGAAAACCAGUGGCGGGCUCGCUAGUCACUCCGAGCGUAGUAAUACAUCUCGCUCAGGGCGUGCUGCGGGUUCCGGCCGUUAAAAAGCCUUAUUUACCCAAGGUUGACCUCGGAUCAGGUAGGAAGACCCGCUGAACUUAAGCAUAUCAAUAAGCGGAGGA
rnacentral:misc_RNA from 1 species